rnacentral:tRNA from 1 species
CCAUCGGUGGUUCAGUGGUAGAAUUUUCGCCUGCCACGCGGGUUCGAUUCCCGGCCGAUGCA